GCAUGCUAGAGAAACCUGGUUUAUAAGCCCUUGUACCUACAAGCCGAAUCCAGUGGCGUUUACAUCCUUUACCAGAUGGUGGAUCUCUCUUAUGCAAACUCUUCCUCAUUCACAUGAUUGUCGACAGAUUUUAUCGACAAUUUUAGUAACUUGCUGCCGUAUUUGGAAAGAGGAAUGCAGCAAUCUUUGAGCAUAAACAAAUUAUUCCACAAGCCACAGAUCACCAAAAUAAGGAAGAUGUUACUGGAAUUGAGUUCUUUUUUCUCAACAGAGACUCAAUCAAUCUGAGGGUCCUUCAGUGCAGGAAACUGCUCAUUGGAGCCCACCUCCAGUAAACUCCCUAAAAAUCAAUUGUGAUGCAGCUUGGAAAAAGGGUAAUUCAUCGGCAGCUAUUGCAGGUAUUGUCAAGAACUACAAAGGGAACAUUGUUGACGACGAAGCAAAAAAGGUUCAGUGUUCUUCUCCCCUCCAAGGUGAGGUGAGCGCAUUGUUGGAAGUUAUGAAGUUAGCAAAAGGUAUGGGGGCUCCUUCUAUAAUAGUGGAAUCUGAUUCAGCUUUGAUCGUCUCAGCCCUAAAUGAUCCUCAUCAGUGCCAAGCUUGGGAGAUUCAUGCGAGGUUAGAUCCAUUCUCUCCUAUGUACAUUUGUUCCAGAGUAUUGUUUUUUGUAAAGUGAAUAGGGAAACUAACUUGGCUGCAGAUUGUAUAGCAAAGCUGUAUUUUCAUAACCGGCUUGUUAGUAA
rnacentral:misc_RNA from 1 species